rnacentral:rRNA from 1 species
GGAGGCAGCAGUGGGGAAUUUUGGACAAUGGGGGCAACCCUGAUCCAGCCAUUCCGCGUGAGUGAAGAAGGCCUUCGGGUUGUAAAGCUCUUUUGUCCGGAACGAAACGGGCGACGUGAAUAUCGUCGUCUACUGACGGUACCGGAAGAAUAAGCACCGGCUAACUACGUGCCAGCAGCCGCGGUAAUACGUAGGGUGCGAGCGUUAAUCGGAACUACUGGGCGUAAAGCGUGCGCAGGCGGUUUUGUAAGCCAGAUGUGAAAUCCCCGGGCUUAACCUGGGAAUGGCAUUUGGGACUGCAAGGCUCGAGUGCGGCAGAGGAGACUGGAAUUCCUGGUGUAGCAGUGAAAUGCGUAGAUAUCAGGAGGAACACCGAUGGCGAAGGCAGGUCUCUGGGCUGACACUGACGCUCAUGCACGAAAGCGUGGGGAGCAAACAGGAUUAGAUACCCUGGUAGUCCACGCCCUAAACGAUGUCGACUGGUUGUUGGGGGUUUGACACUCUCAGUAACGAAGCUAACGCGUGAAGUCGACCGCCUGGGGAGUACGGCCGCAAGGUUAAAACUCAAAGGAAUUGACGGGGACCCGCACAAGCGGUGGAUUAUGUGGAUUAAUUCGAUGCAACGCGAAAAACCUUACCUACCCUUGACAUGUCCGGAAGGCUGCUGAAAGGCGGCUGUGCCCGAAAGGGAACUGGAGCACAGGUGCUGCAUGGCUGUCGUCAGCUCGUGUCGUGAGAUGUUGGGUUAAGUCCCGCAACGAGCGCAACCCUUGUCAUUAGUUGCUACAUUCAGUUGGGCACUCUAAUGAGACUGCCGGUGACAAACCGGAGGAAGGUGGGGAUGACGUCAAGUCCUCAUGGCCCUUAUGGGUAGGGCUUCACACGUAAUACAAUGGCGCGUACAGAGGGCUGCUAAGCCGCGAGGUAGAGCCAAUCCCUUAAAGCGCGUCGUAGUCCGGAUUGCAGUCUGCAACUCGACUGCAUGAAGUCGGAAUCGCUAGUAAUCGCGGAUCAGCAUGUCGCGGUGAAUACUUUCCCGGGCCUUGUACACA